rnacentral:rRNA from 1 species
UGGGGAAUAUUGCACAAUGGGCGCAAGCCUGAUGCAGCCAUGCCGCGUGUAUGAAGAAGGCCUUCGGGUUGUAAAGUACUUUCAGCGGGGAGGAAGGGAGUAAAGUUAAUACCUUUGCUCAUUGACGUUACCCGCAGAAGAAGCACCGGCUAACUCCGUGCCAGCAGCCGCGGUAAUACGGAGGGUGCAAGCGUUAAUCGGAAUUACUGGGGGUAAAGCGCACGCAGGCGGUUUGUUAAGUCAGAUGUGAAAUCCUCGGGCUCAACCUGGGAAGUGCAGAUGAUACUGGCGAGCUGGAGUCUCGUAGAGGGGGGUAGAAUUCCAGGUGUAGCGGUGAAAUGCGUAGAGAUCUGGAGGAAUACCGGUGGCGAAGGCGGCCCCCUGGACGAAGACUGACGCUGAGGUGCGAAGGCGUGGGGAGCAAACAGG